rnacentral:tRNA from 1 species
GCCGGGAUGGUGAAAUUGGCAAACACGUAAGAUUCAGGAUCUUAUGCUCGUUCGGGCUUGGGGGUUCAAGUCCCCCUCUCGGCA